UACGUAGGGUGCAAGCGUUGUCCGGAAUUAUUGGGCGUAAAGAGCUCGUAGGCGGCUUGUUGCGUCGGCUGUGAAAUCCCGAGGCUCAACCUCGGGUCUGCAGUCGAUACGAGCAAACUAGAGUGUUGCAGGGGAGACUGGAAUUCCUGGUGUAGCGGUGAAAUGCGCAGAUAUCUGGAAGAACACCAGUGGCGAAGGCGGUCAACUGGCCCAUAACUGACGCUCAGGCACGAAAGCGUGGGUAGCGAACAGG
rnacentral:rRNA from 1 species